rnacentral:rRNA from 1 species
UACGUAGGGGGCGAGCGUUGUCCGGAAUCAUUGGGCGUAAAGCGCGUGUAGGCGGCCCGGUAAGUCCGCUGUGAAAGUCCAGGGCUCAACCCUGGGAUGCCGGUGGAUACUGUCGGGCUCGAGUCCGGAAGAGGCGAGUGGAAUUCCCGGUGUAGCGGUGAAAUGCGCAGAUAUCAGGAGGAACACCUAUGGCGAAGGCAGCUCGCUGGGACGUUACUGACGCUGAGACGCGAAAGCGUGGGGAGCAAACAGG